rnacentral:rRNA from 1 species
CCUACGGGUGGCAGCAGUGGGGAAUAUUGCGCAAUGGGCGAAAGCCUGACGCAGCGACGCCGCGUGAGGGAUGAAGGUCUUCGGAUCGUAAACCUCUGUCAGCAGGGAAGCACGGUCACUGUGCUAAUCAGCAGUGAAUUGACGGUACCUGCAAAGGAAGCACCGGCUAACUCCGUGCCAGCAGCCGCGGUAAUACGGCGGGUGCGAGCGUUAAUCGGAAUUGCUGGGCGUAAAGCGCUCGUAGGCGGUAUGUCAAGUCAAGGGUGAAAUCCCCGCGCUCAACGUGGGAACUGCCUUUGAAACUGGCAAACUGGAGUGUGUGAGAGGAUAGUGGAAUUCCAGGUGUAGGAGUGAAAUGCGUAGAUAUCUGGAGGAACAUCAGUGGCGAAGGCGACUAUCUGGCACAUAACUGACGCUGAGGAGCGAAAGCGUGGGUAGCAAACAGGAUUAGAUACCCGGGUAGUC